GACGAAGGGGGCUAGCGUUGUUCGGAAUUACUGGGCGUAAAGCGCGUGUAGGCGGUUGCCCAAGUCGGGUGUGAAAGCCUUGAGCUCAACUCAAGAAAUGCACUCGGUACUGGGUGACUAGAGGACCGGAGAGGAUAGUGGAAUUCCCAGUGUAGUGGUGGAAAUAACGUAGAGAUUUGGGAAGAACACCAGUGGGCGAAAGGCGGCUAUCUGGGACGGUUUUCUGA
rnacentral:rRNA from 1 species